UACGGGGGGGGCAAGCGUUGUUCGGAAUUACUGGGCGUAAAGGGCUCGUAGGCGGCCAACUAAGUCAGACGUGAAAUCCCUCAGCUUAACUGGGGAACUGCGUCUGAUACUGGAUGGCUUGGAUUUGGGAGAGGGAUGCGGAAUUCCAGGUGUAGCGGUGAAAUGCGUAGAUAUCUGGAGGAACACCGGUGGCGAAGGCGGCAUCCUGGACCAAUAUUGACGCUGAGGAGCGAAAGCCAGGGGAGCAAACGGG
rnacentral:rRNA from 1 species